rnacentral:rRNA from 1 species
CCUACGGGGGGCAGCAGUAGGGAAUAUUGCGCAAUGGGCGAAAGCCUGACGCAGCGACACCGUGUGAAGGAUGAAGGUCUUCGGAUCGUAAACUUCUGUCAAUCGGGGACGAAGGUAAUAAGGUUAAUAGCCUUUAUUAUUGACGGUACCCAAUAAGGAAGUCUCGGCUAACUCCGUGCCAGCAGCCGCGGUAAGACGGAGGAGGCAAGCGUUGUCCGGAAUCAUUGGGCGUAAAGAGCGCGUAGGCGGUUUUUCAAGUCGUAUGUGAAAACUUCAGGCUUAACCUGAUGAUUGCAUAUGAAACUGGAUAACUUGAGUACAGCAGAGGAAAGUGGAAUUCCUGGUGUAGCGGUGAAAUGUGCAGAUAUCAGGAAGAACACCGGUAGCGAAGGCGGCUUUCUGGGCUGUUACUGACGCUGAGGCGCGAAAGCUAGGGGAGCAAACAGGAUUAGAUACCCCAGUAGUCC